AGAGAGAGAGAGAGAGAGAGAGAUGAAAGGAGUCGGAGGGCCAUUGCUGUGCAUAGGGGAUUUGCUUAGCGAUCUUGGAGAGAAAGAAGACGAUGUUAUUAGAGCAGGUGAUCAUCACCGAUCCCACAAAGAAGCGGGUUCACCUUCUUCAUCUUCAAUUCCUGAUUCUGACGAUACCCUUCAAUCCUCCUUGGAUCUUACCAAGCUCUUCGAGGAAAACUACAGCCACUUGAACAAGGCACUUGCUGGAACAGAUCACUCCUGGACAGCUAUGACUUUAAAGUUAUGCACGGCUCUGGAAACUGCAAAUGAGUUGGUCCAGUCCACCAACUCAAACGUCAGACUGCUGUCUGAGAAAGUUGGAGAGCUUGAGAAAAUUGUCAAGAGGGGAGAUUCUGCUGUUGCGGCAGCCAAGGCAGUUCAUGUUUCUCUAAACCAAAAGGGUGGUCCAUUUAUGGGCAGUAAAAAUGUCUAGUGGUUUAGGUCGCCUUUGAAAAUGGCUGGUAAAGUGCAUUUACUGGAAUUAUAUUUUCUGUUUCAAUUAUUUCUCUUUCGUAUAUAUGUUUUUGUUCUUCUAUUCCCACUGGUAAAUCAGCUACAACAAUUUAGAAUUUUCAUUUGAAUAGGGAUUAAGGAUGCAGAGUGAAGUUUUAGAUUGAGUGGAACUUUGUCUACCAAAUGCUAAGUUGUGUUUUAUUUAAACUACCUUGAUAAU
rnacentral:misc_RNA from 1 species